AAGCCUACGGGAGGCAGCAGUGGGGAAUAUUGGGCAAUGGGCGCAAGCCUGACUCAGCAACGCCGCGUGAAGGAAGAAGGCUUUCGUGUUGUAAACUUCUUUUCUCAGGGACGAAGCAAGUGACGGUACCUGAGGAAUAAGCCACGGCUAACUACGUGCCAGCAGCCGCGGUAAUACGUAGGUGGCAAGCGUUAUCCGGAUUUACUGGGUGUAAAGUGCGUGUAGGCGGGACU
rnacentral:rRNA from 1 species